GAUGAAGAACGCAGCGAAAUGCGAUAAGUAGUGUGAGUUGCAGAAUUCAGUGAAUCAUCGAAUCUUUGAACGCACAUUGCGCCCCUUGGUAUUCCAUGGGGCAUGCCUGUUCGAGCGUCAUUUGUACCUUCAAGCUUUGCUUGGUGUUGGGUGUUUGUCCCGAGGGACUCGCCUUAAAGUAAUUGGCAGCCAGUGUUUGGUUUUGAAGCGCAGCACAAGUCGCGAUUCAAGGCUACACGCCCGCUUCCACAAGCCUUUUUUCACUUUUGACCUCGGAUCAGGUAGGGAUACCCGCUGAACUUAAGCAUAUCAAUAAGCGGAGGA
rnacentral:misc_RNA from 1 species